CCUGCUCCCUGCUACUUUGUUGUUAGCUUUUGCUGGUAUUCUAAAUGUUCCGGAAUUGAUAAUUUCUCCCGCUUUGGGAAGUCUUACGCAAUCCUCCCUGAUCCCUACCUCCACCUCCUCCUCUCCUUGAUCCCGCACCUUCCACAGUUGGUUAAAGAUGUGGAGAAUUCAACACAGAGAGCCUGAUCUCUUUGAUGGAAAAAAAUAUCUUUUGUGGAUGCAGAUACAUUUUGUCGUCUUCAAGAUCUGGAGAUCAAGGAGGAUGAACAAACAAAGGAAAACUUAGAGGAAGAGAUAACACCAUCCAAUGAACACAAAGCAAUGGAUCCCCACACAGCAAAUUUUCCUCAACAUGGAUGCGAUGAAUCAGAUCUCCCUAAGAAGGGAAAGAGAUUUUGGUUGAGAAGAAGGAACCAAGUUGUUCCAAAAGCUAAAACAUCUGGUGAUCCACAAUCAUCCCCAAAUCCUGAUUUCUGUGGAAAGUCUCUGCUACCACUGACUUUAUGUCAUGAACUAACAGUGAUACUGAUGAUUUUAUCCCAUAAUAACUCUCACGUGGUGCUUUUUGUCAAGAAUGACAAAUUAUUACAGACGGAUUUAACUUGUGAACAAUUUAUUUUUGCAAAGAAGAAAAUAUUCUGUACUUUAUAACCUUCAGAAAUUGUAUUUUUAAGUUCACUGAGAUUUCUUCCAGAGAUCUGAUUUACUUCCAUUGGACCUAAUUCAUCAUUUUUUCUU